UACGUAGGGACCAAGCGUUGUUCGGAUUUACUGGGCGUAAAGGGUGCGUAGGUGGUUUUGUAAGUAACAUGUGAAAGUCCUGGGCUUAACCUGGGGAUUGCAUGUUAAACUGCAAAGCUAGAGUGUUGUAGAGGAUAGCGGAAUUUCCGGUGUAGCGGUGAAAUGCGUAGAUAUCGGAAGGAACACCAGUGGCGAAGGCGACUUCCUGGACCAUUACUGACACUGAGGCGCGAAAGCGUGGGGAGCGAACAGG
rnacentral:rRNA from 1 species